AUGAUAAUUGCACAGGAGUCAGGAGGCAUAUUUUCUGUCGGUAUUUCCAAAAUGCAAUCCAACAAACAAUUCACAUGCAAUCCCAAACUAACCCUUAUCGCUGUUGUGUUUCUCUUCUUCUUCUUCUUCUUCUUCAUGAUGCUAUUAAGAUCAUCCACAUACUCAUUUCUACUUAAGUUGCACCUCAAACCCCAACCUCUCAAUAAUCUCAUCCUAAGAAGCAACACAAACAUAAACACAAACAGAAAAAUUCACACCGUCCACGCGCCUUUCACUCCCUUACACAACCACGUGCACACAAAAACCCCUUCAUCAGUAGCCAAAUCCCGUCAUUAUCUCAAGAAACAAACAACAUGA